UACGUAGGGGGCAAGCGUUGUCCGGAAUUAUUGGGCGUAAAGAGCUCGUAGGCGGUUUGUCGCGUCUGCUGUGAAAACCCGAGGCUCAACCUCGGGCCUGCAGUGGGUACGGGCAGACUAGAGUGCGGUAGGGGAGAUUGGAAUUCCUGGUGUAGCGGUGGAAUGCGCAGAUAUCAGGAGGAACACCGAUGGCGAAGGCAGCUCGCUGGGACGGUACUGACGCUGAGGCGCGAAAGCGUGGGGAGCAAACAGG
rnacentral:rRNA from 1 species